UACGGAGGGGGCGAGCGUUAUUCGGAAUUAUUGGGCGUAAAGGGCGCGUAGGCGGCUUGACAAGUCAAAGGUGAAAUCCCUCGGCUCAACUGAGGAACUGCCUUUGAAACUGUCUGGCUUGAGGCCGGGAGGGGUAGCGGAAUUCCCAGUGUAGCGGUGAAAUGCGUAGAUAUCGGGAGGAACACCAGUGGCGAAGGCGACUACCUGGCCUGUUCUUGACGCUGAGGCGCGAAAGCUAGGGGAGCAAACGGG
rnacentral:rRNA from 1 species